rnacentral:rRNA from 1 species
UACGGAGGGAGCUAGCGUUGUUCGGAAUGACUGGGCGUAAAGCGCACGUAGGCGGCUUUGUAAGUUAGAGGUGAAAGCCCGGGGCUCAACUCCGGAACUGCCUUUAAGACUGCAUCGCUUGAAUCCAGGAGAGGUGAGUGGAAUUCCGAGUGUAGAGGUGAAAUUCGUAGAUAUUCGGAAGAACACCAGUGGCGAAGGCGGCUCACUGGACUGGUAUUGACGCUGAGACGCGAAAGCGUGGGGAGCGAACAGG